AGGUUGAACGCUAGCGGCAUGCCUAACACAUGCAAGUCGAACGGUAACAGGCCCUUCGGGUGCUGGCGAGUGGCGGACGGGUGAGUAAUGCGUAGGAAUCUACCCACGAGUGGGGGAUAGCCCGGAGAAAUCCGGAUUAAUACCGCAUAUGCCCUACGGGGUAAAGCGGGGGAUCGUAAGACCUCGCGCUGGUGGAUGAGCCUACGUCGAUUAGUUAGUUGGUGGGGUAAAGGGCCUACCAAGGCUACGAUCGGUAGGCUGGUCUGAGAGGACGACCAGCCACACUGGGACUGGGACGAACGGCCCAGACUCCUACCGGGAGGGCAGC
rnacentral:rRNA from 1 species